ACAGGUUGAUUCUGCCUGACGAGGAUGCUUGUCUCUGGGAUUAAGCCAUGCAAGUCUGGUGAAGCGAAAGUGGAACUGCGAACGGCUCAGUAGAACGGUGAUUAUUUAAUCGUGUAGGAAGGAUAACCGCGGGAAACUGUGGCUAAUAACACGAGUAAGACGCCGACCCAUCAGUUUUAUCGUACGGUAAGGGCGUACGAUGGCUUUAACGGGUACGGGGGAUCAGGGUUUGAUUCCGGAGAGGGAGCCUGAGAAACGGCUACCAGGUCUAAGGACAGCAGCAGGCGCGAAACUUGCCCAAUUGGAGAGAGGCAGUUAUGAGACGUAUAUUUUGUAACCGGGGUAGAAUACCGGUGAUUGACUGGAGGGCAAGUCUGGUGCCAGCAGCCGCGGUAAUUCCAGCUCCAGGAGUGUCAUAGUGCAUUGCUGCAUUUAAAAGGUCCGUAGUCAGUGUUGACAGGGAUGCUAGAAGACACUUUCUUCAUGGAGUGUAUUGGCAUUCUAGGUUAGCAUGUAGGAGCGGAAGAGGGCGACUGUAUUGCGUAGCGAGAGGUGAAAGUUGACGACCUACGUAGGACAAACCGAAGCGAAAGCUGUCGUCCAGUACGUUUCCGGUGAUCAAGGACGUAAGCCGGAGGAGCAAAGGUGAUUAGAGACCCCUGUAGUUCCGGCCGUAAACUAUGCCAACUGGGUGUUACGUAGUGGUACCCACGAGAAAUCAAGUAUAUGGGCUAUGGGGAUAGUACGAUCGCAAGAUUGAAACUUGAAGAAAUUGACGGAAGGACACCACCAGGAGUGGAGUGUGCGGCUUAAUUUGACUCAACGCGGGACAACUUACCAGGGCCAGUUGUAUGACGAAUCUUUGAUGAGUACGACUAAGUGGUGCAUGGCCGUUCACAACAUGUGAGGUGACUUUUAGGUUUAUUGCUGUAAUGUGUGAGACCCUCAGCUACGGCGACUGGGGACUAUAAGUUUCAGGAAGGAGGGGGCUAUAACAGGUCUGUGAUGCCCUUAGAUGUUCUGGGCUGCACGCGCACUACAAUGUUAUUUCUAGGUAUAUUGUAAAGAUAAAGGAUAACUCGGUUGGGAUUGCGUUCUGUAAUGGACGCAUGAACCAGGAAUUCCUAGUAGUCGCGUGUCACUAACGGGCGACGACUGCGUCCCUGUUCUUUGUACACACCGCCCGUCGUUAUCUAAGAUGGUGCUAUGUUCGAAGAGGGUUUUCCUUCUGAGGACGUAGGAUUAGAUUGGAUACAAGUCGUAACAAGGUUGCUGUAGGAGAACCUGCAGCAGGAUCAGUG
rnacentral:rRNA from 13 species